rfam:Paraburkholderia tropica strain P-31 P31_contig_37, whole genome shotgun sequence.
GCCGUCUCGCCAAGCACCGGUCUUGAGCGGGAUUCGAUGGCCGCUAUCAUAGUGGGCCUUCAGGGCUGAACGCGCAGUCCGUGUCGACCACGGCAGUCGCAUGUGCCGAUGUGAACCGAUCGAAUGUCGGGGAGUGUCGCCACCGCCCGAAUGCGCCGCGUGCGCACGAAAAAAGGCCUUCAUCUGACGAUGAAGGCCUUUUACU